ensembl:lncRNA
CCGAUACGUUCCUUCAACUGUCAGACGGCGGUUUCACCUUCAUAAAGCACCGUCCCUGCGUGGACUAUGACACCAGCUAAGAGGAGGCAUCAAGGCUAUGUCCGGGUGAACUGUCACCCGAGCGUGUAAAGGAUGGCGAUGUAAUUUUAUUUUACGGCGAGUAGCGGUGGCGCCAAUUGACCACGGACGCUAAAGCGGUUGGAUACACGGAACGUGUUUCACGUCCUUAACCAAUGAAAUGCCUUUGAUUUAUCGGAGCCAUGUAAGCGAUGCGGUGGCGUAAAUCACGACGGCGUGUGACGUCUCACUUGCCCCCCCCUCCCCCUGCAGAUGGCAAAUUUUACAAGGAAGACGAUCGAUGGCGGGCGUCUGCGGGGAAAGAUGUUCUCUCCGGACCGUCGGUUCUCUGUGUCCGGAAUGAUCCAGAUCUUGUUAGCUAAUGACACUAUGGACGGGCGGCUGACGGACGCGUGCCCCGGCGUCGUCUCUGGUUCAGUCUCAGAGCUCUCUCCUGACACGACGGCGGACGCACGACACACGCAUCAUUUGGUUCCCCAGCUGAGGACCAGCAACCGCAAAAGCUCUGACACCUUUUGGCUUAAGCCGGGACCUGGAGACAUGGAGGAUACUUUUGGCUGGAGGAUCUGAAGUAGACCUGAAGCGGAGACGUCGUUGCAUCGGCCAUCUUGAGAGGCUCCUUGUGUGUGCUUGAACGUCAUAAGUUCGACCUCAAAAUGUCCGUCUGGUAUUUAAAGUUGACGUCCACAAUUAAUGGUGUGCCGGGUGAGGAGAGGAUGACUUUAGGCUCAACAAGAAAGUACUGCUUUUUGUUUUUCAUUUGAUUUGAUUAUUAUAUUUUUCCAAUAGAUCGAUGAAUGAUAAUUCUGAUGGAUGGUGAUCUAAUCGUAGAAUGGUAAAAGGAGUAUAUGGUUCACACUAAAACAACAUAACCAAGGCUAAGGUGUGUUGUAGUUUUUCUACACACAUGUUCGGUAAUUCCAGAUGAUUGCCUAUAAGGGCACUAAGUGUAUGCCCUUGUGAAACAAACAAGGGCCUCUGAAUAUUAAUUAGCAAUGUCCUCCACCCCCAUCUAGCGUGGGGGUUCAGGAGUUAAAGGUGACCACAAAAUGAAUCUCUCAUUCAUUCAUUUAUCCUCCCAUUUAUUAUCGCAUGCAUAAAGAGUUCUUUCAUUCACCUUGCAUA